CCCUUAGAUGUCCUGGGCCGCACGCGCGUUACACUGAUGCAUUCAACGAGCUUAUAACCUUGGCCGAGAGGCCUGGGCAAUCUUUUUAAAACGCAUCGUGAUGGGGAUAGAUUAUUGCAAUUAUUAAUCUUGAACGAGGAAUUCCUAGUAAACGCAGAUCAUCAAUCUGCAUUGAUUACGUCCCUGCCCUUUGUACACACCGCCCGUCGCACCUACCGAUUGGAUGGUCCGGUGAAGCCUCGGGAUUGUGGUUCUUGCCGCUUUAUUGUGGCGUGACCGCGAGAACUUGUCUAAACCUUAUCAUCUAGAGGAAGGUGAAGUCGUANCA
rnacentral:rRNA from 1 species